GGGCCAGGCUGAGUCCGGUCGCGACCACGGGAGGCCAGUGCCCUCAGCCUAUGUCCCAUUAAGCCCUGCAGCAGCCGGGCUCAGCGGAGAACCAGGAACCCCUACAAGAGCCGCACACAGUGGCGCUGACAGGAUGUCACAGGCCUCCUGGGGUCACACAGCACACGAGCGGCCCCCCAGGACAGCAGCAAGCAGGGCCAAGAUGCCACCGCUACGCUGGACAGGGCUGCCCACCAACUGGACUGUGUUCAGGCCGGGCCAGGGGCUCCUUAAAGAGCCGUCCUGGCGGCACCUACCAGAAGGUCUCCAGGAGGAUGCAGAGCUCCUGGGCGCGGCCCAGCGCGAACACAGGUAUCAGCACCUGAGGGGGACACAAGGCAGGAGCCCUGGGCACGUGGCCCCUCGACACAGCAGGCAGCGUCCAGUGAGGGCACGGCCAGGUGCCCAAGAGCUGCGGCCUCAUAGGGACCUUAGCCUCUCAUCUGCUCCCAGUCCCGUCCCAGCCGCUCUCCAGAGACAGAAGGGAGCCGCAUGAGAGACACGAGGGAGCCGCAUGAGAGACAGGAGGGAGCCGCAUGAGAGACAGAAGGGAGCCGCAUGAGAGACAGAAGGGAGCCGCAUGAGAGACAGAAGGGAGCUGCAUGAGAGACAGAAGGAGCCUGGCCAGGGCUUCGUCCGCACCUGAGCAUCCAGUUCACAAGGGACGGGCAACGUGGACAAAGAACGAAAGACAACGGACAGAAAACUGAAGGGACCUGAAAUUGGAGUUUCCAGCGUGGACUCUGAAUACAUGACAGAGAAAAGACAAGGUUCAGAAUGUUGGCGGCCAGGCCUAAGGUGGAUCCCUUGGGGUCAGGAAUUGGAGACCAGCCUGGCCAACAUGGUGAAACCCCGUCUCUACUAAAAAUACAAAAGUAAGCCAGGUGUGGAGGUGCGCGCCUGUAAUCCCAACUGCUCAGGAGGCUGAGGCAGGAGAAUCGCUUGAACCUGGGAAGUGGAGGUUGCAGUGUACUGAGAUCACGCCACUGCACUCUAGCCUGGGCAAUGGGGCGGGACUCCAUCUCAAUAAAAACAAACAAAAAAAUACUGGGCUGGGCACAGUGGCUCACACCUUUAAUCCCAGCACUUUGGGAGACCAAGGUGGGCAGAUCAUCUGAAGUCAGGAGUUCAAGACCAUCCUGGCCGACACGGUGAAACCCUGUCUCUACUAAAAAUACAAAAGUUAGCUGGGCAUGGUGGUGGGUGCUUGUAAUCCCAGCUACUCAGUAGGCUAAGGCAGAAUUACUUGAACCCGGGAGGCGGAGAUUGCAGUGAGCUGAGAUUGUGCCAUUGCACUCCAGACUGGGCAACAAGAGCGAGAGUGUCAAAAACAAAAAUUGGCAAAAAACUAGACUUCUUUUAAAUUUAAUUUAUUCAUUUAAAACUUGCCGGGCAUGGUGGCUCAUGCCUGUAAUCCCAGCACUUUGGGAGGCUGAGGCGGGUGGAUCACCUGAGGUUGGGAGUUCAAGACCAGCCUGAGCAACACGGAAAAAGCCCGUCUCUACUAAAAAUACAAAAUUAGCCAGAUGUGGUGGUGUGCGCCUGUAAUCCCAGCUACUCGGGAGGCUGAGGCAGGAGAACUGCUUGAACCCGGGAGGCGGAGGUUGCAGUGAGCCGAGAUCGCGCCACUGCACUCCAGCCUGGGCGACAGAGCGAGACUGUGUCUCAAAAAUAAAUAAAUAAAUAAAAUUGAGAGACAGGGUGGGGCUGUCACCCAGGCUGCAGUGGCGCAAUCAUGGCUCACUCAAACUCCUGGGCUCAAGCGUCCUCCCGCCUCCACCUCCGCCUCCCAAAUAGCUGGGACUAUAGGCACGCACCCACCACGCCGGGCUAAUUUAAAAACAAAAUUUUGGCCAGGCGCAGUGGCUUACUCCUGUAAUCCCAGCACUCUGGGAGGCCGAGGCGGGUGGAUCACCAGAGGUCAGGAGUUCAAGACCAGCCUGACCAACAUGGUGAAACCCCCGUCUCUACUAAAAAAAUAUAUAAAAUUAGCUGGGUGUGGUGGCACACGCCUGUAAUCCCAGCUACUCGGGAGGCUGAGGCAGGAGAAUCGCUUGAACCCAGAAGGCGGAGGUUCAAGGUAAGCUGAGAUCGCACCACUGCACUACAGCCUGGGCAAUGAGAGCGAAACUCCGUCGCAAAAAAAAAAGAAUUCAACAGAUGAAUUUAACACCAUAUGACACAUAACCAGAAGAGAAUCCAUGAACUGAAAGACACCAGAGGGGAUAUCCAUCAGGAAACAGGAAAGACAAACAGAUGACGGAGUUUCAAGAGGUUGAACGUCAGGCUCUCGGGGUCCCUGGAGGAGCAGGAACGGGGCAGAAACAACACUGGAAGAAACAUGGUGAAGGCCUCAAGCCACAGAUCCAAGAGGCCUCAAACUCUGAACAGGCUGAGGAUACAUGUCAGCCCAUCGGAGCACAGGCACCAAAAACCAAGGCUCGUGCUCAGACCCUACGGCUGCCCAUGCCCAGAGACAGAACGUUGUUUGCAAAGUGCAGAGACAAAAUGCCGUCAACCUGAAAUCUUACACACCUAAGGGAAAAACGUCCUUUAAGAACGAGGAUAAAGUAAAUCCAUUUGCAGGCAAAUAAAUUUUUUUUUUUCUGA